rnacentral:tRNA from 1 species
CACCCGAUGACUGAAAAAGUGCUGGUCUUUUAAACCUGUCAUGGUACCCGUUACCUCGGGUGG